rnacentral:lncRNA from 1 species
UCGAUUCAAUAGUUUGUCCUAGCUCCCUGCAAACAAGGGAAGAAUGUUCGGUUUGGGUAAGCUCUUUUCGAACAGGUUAUUUCGGUAAAGAGGGAGACAAAGCCUUUUCACUUCAACUAAUCGUUGAUUGCAGGUAAGCCUGAAGCUUUGAGACGGCUGAUGUCGGUAUUGUGUAGGGCAGUAGGUCGGGGCCUGAGCCCCCCCAAACUAAAAGGGGAAAAGGGAGGGGCCUUAGAGGGAAGCCUAUCAAAGAAAGAAGAAGCUAAGCAGACUGACAGCGCCCAGAGCUCGUUAGUUAGGUUCUGAUGCUUCGAAAAGGAAUCAACCUAGGACUCCAUUUUCGAAUAAGAAGCAUUUCCGGGGCUUCAGCCUUUGAUGGACAAAAGGGCUAAAGUCACAGCUUCAGAAGUCAGUUUUCAUCACCUUACAAUCUCUGGUUUUUCUAAUCUGACUUUAUUCAAGAAAAUCUUUCUUCUCUGUUGGCCACCACGUUUCGGGGGGGGCUACAGAGGGGGGGUUGCAGUAGUAGCGGUGGGCGGUUUACCUUUCUACCCUAGAGGUAAAUUAAAGCAUCUAUCGGUAUGAAUACGAAAUGACUUUUCUUCUCUAUGGCCUUCGCUUCCAAGACUACUUUCUUUUUCUUUUUUUUUUUAUCCACCAGGAAAUGCUGCUUUGCCUUCAACGCUUGGAAAAGAUUUUCUAUUUCGAAUUCGAGUUGUUCAGUCAGUGUAAGGCACCCAGUGAUGCUAGGCUAGGUGUCACGGUUUGUGAGUUCUUGAUAUUGAAAUCACGCGUCCAUACGUCAUCAAAUCUACUCAUAAUCAAGGUUAAUUUUUCGUGAGUCAAUUUUUUUUAGACAGUUCAAUUUCAAUCUGUCAAACCGCAUAUAUAAGAGCAUUUUCUUUGGCUUUGACUUUCGUUAGAUUACUCAUUCCAAACUCUAGAGGAAGGAAUCCAACUCUUGUCACUCAUCCACCUAUAAUUCUCAAAGUGGUCUCGAGCACCCAUCUUUGUCCGCAGGGCUUAAAGUCUUAAGCAUCGACCCUCGAAUACCCGUGAGGCACGCAGCUCUGAUUCUCAUGAUAUUAUUACUUCUUGACAUUGUGAGAACCCAACAUCAUGCCCACUCGUAUCGUAUGCAAACUCUUGUAUCAAGUUUAUGCAAGCGCAACACUUAUGCUGGUCAACAACCAGCUCGAAGCCUGUAGGCUCAUCUUAUCUCACCGAACUCAAUUUUUAGGGCUCAGGCCCUUAGCUUCAAUGUAGACUGCCCGUACGCAUGAUUGACACCCAACAUGAUGCAAAUCUCGUAAGAGGGACUUGGGUGGGCUACCCCAAUUGCAGCACACCUCUACCGGUUGGCCACAAGGGUCUAGCAAAGUGCCUGCCUGCUAGCCUGCACAUCCCUUAGGCUCAAUGGCGUCCUUCCUGCACAAACACCAUUUCAUGAUCCUUUUAGCUUAGGGAAGAGAAAUCGGGGGGCAUAGCAAACUCUAUUGCGUAAUCUCAUGGCUCAACGCGAAGACACGAUACGAGGCCCACUAGCUCCAACCGUCCCCGGGUUUACCAUGACCCAAGGAAAUAUCGUGUCACGCUUAUGACCCUACGAUGCCUGCCCACCUAGACACCACUAGUGCCUAGGAGCAGCUCACUUCAAACUAGCCAAGCCCUUGUCUACCCGCUAGCCAAGGGGGUGGUGGAGAGUUGACACCAGUCAUCCCCCUCUAAAGAACAUAAAAGAUUUUCUCAGUCUCCUACCAAUAAUCGUAAGAUUGUCUGAAAUAAAGAUACUUUUCUCUCCAGCCAUCUUAGGGCCUUUCUCUAGCUAACUCAAGGCCCAUAACCUUCAUCUUAGUCAUCAUUAUUCCUUGAUUCUACUCGUUGUUUCACCAACCCACUCGAAAAUGCUCGCACAUGGCUUCGACCGACAACACCUGACUGGCUAGCUGGUCCCAAGGCACCGACACACUGCCUUACACUUAUCAGCGUAUCUUAGAGUUUAGGGCUCAAACUAUCCACACAUAAUAUCUCUUACAUAUUCUCAUGCUCAGAAUGCCCAUACAUUGCUUCCACUGAUGGCCCCCGCCAGACUACUUGGCUCGAGGGUGCUUGACCAGUGUCUCGAACUUAUCUACGUAUCUUGCCAACCAGGGCUUUCACUACCCGCACAACAUAUUAGUAACCUGUUCCAAUGCUCCAAAUGCACUCCCGUAUCUCUUAAAACCAUUUUUUCGCCAGCUUGGUCUCGAUUGUUGCUCAGCUCAGGGUUAGUCAUGGCAAGACCAAGGCACACCAAAGCCUGACCAUGACACUCUUCCCGGAGGGGUGGGCAUGGCUUAAGAGGCGCGGUAGCAGUGGGCGGUUUACCUUUCUACCCUAAGAGGUAAAUUAAAGCAUCUAUCGGUAUGAAUACGAAAUGACUUUUCUUCUCUAUGGCCUUCGCUUCCAAGACUACUUUCUUUUUCUUUUUUUUUUAUCCACCAGGAAAUGUUGUUUUGCCUUCAACGCUUGGAAAAGAUUUUCUAUUUCGAAUUCGAGUUGUUCAGUCAGCACCCAGUGAUGCUAGGCUAGGUGUCACGGUUUGUGAGUUCUUGAUAUUGAAAUCACGCGUCCAUGCGGCACCAAAUCUACUCAUAGUCGAGGUCAAUUUUUCGUGAGUCAAUUUUUUUUUAGACAGUUCAAUUUCAAUCUGUCAAACUGCAUAUAUAAGAGCCUUUUCUUUGGCUUUGACCUUCGUAAGAUUACUCAUUCCAAACUCUAUAGGAAGGAAUCCAACUCCUGUCACUCAUCCACCUAUGAUUCUCAAAGUGGCCCCGAGCACCCAUCUUUGCCCGCAAGGCUUAAAGUCUUAAGCAUCAACCCUCGAAUACCCGUGGGGCACGCAGCCCCGAUUCUCAUGAUAUUAUUACUUCUUGACAUUGUGAGAACCCAACACCAUGCCCACUCGUAUCGUAUGCAAACUCUCGUAUCAAGUUUAUGCAAGCAUAACACUUAUGCUGGUCAGCAACCAGUUCAGAGCCUGUAGGCUCAUCUUAUCUCACCGAACUCAGUUUUUAGGGCUCAGGCCCUUAGCUUCAAUGUAAACUGCCCGUACGCAUGAUUGACACCCAACAUGAUGCUAGUCCCGCAAGAGGGACUUAGGUGGGCUACCCCGACUGCAGCACACAUCUACCGGUUGGCCACAAGGGUCUAGCAAAGUGCCUGCCUGCUAGCCUGCACAUCCCUUAGGCUCGAUGGCGUCUUUCCUGCACAAACACCAUUUUCAUGAUCCUUCUAGCUUAGGGAAGGGAAAUCGGGGGACAUAGCAAACUCUAUUGCGUAAUCUCAUGGCUCAAUGCGAAGAUACGAUACGAGGCCCACCAGCUCCAACCGUCCUCGGGUUUACCAUGACCCAAGGAAAUAUCGUGUCACGCUUAUGACCCUACGAUGCCUGACCAUCUAGACACCACUAGUGCCUAAGAGUAGCUCACUUCAGACUAGUCAAGCCCUUGUCUACCCGCUAGCCAAAGGGGUGGUGGAGAGCUAACACCAAUCAUCCCCCUAUAAAAAACGUAAGAGAUUUUCUUAGUCUCCUACUAAUAAUCAUAAAAUUGUCUGAAAUAAGGACACUUUUCUCUCCAGCCAUCUUAGGGCCUUUUUUCUGGCUAACUCAAAGCCCAUAACCUUCAUCUUGGUCAUCAUUAUUCCUUGAUUCUACUCGUUGCUUCACCAACCCACUCGAAGAUGCUCGCACAUGGCUUCGACCGACAACACCUGACUGGCUAGCUGGUCCCAGGGCACCGACACACUGCCAUAUACUUACCAGCGUAUCUUAGAGUUUAGGGCUCAAACUAUCCACACACAAUAUCUCUUACAUAUUCUCAUGCUCAGAAUGCCCAUACAUUGCUUUCGCUGAUGGCCCCCGCCAGACUACUUGGCUCGAGGGUGCUUGAGCAGUGUCUCGAACUUACCUACGUAUCUUGCCAUCCAGGGCUUUCAUUACCUGCAUAACAUAUUAGUAACCUGUUCCAAUGCUCCAAAUGCACUCCCGUAUCUCUUAAAACUACUUUUUCACCAACAUGGUCUCGAUUGUUGCUCAGUUCAGGGUUAGUCAUGACAAGACCAAGGCACACCAAAGCCUGACCAUGACACUCUUCUCGGGGGGGUGGACGUGGCUUAAGAGGCUAGGUAGCAGUGGGCGGUUUACCUUUCUACCUUAAGAGGUAAAUUAAUGCAUCUAUCGGCAUGAAUACAAAAUGAAUUUUCUUCUCUAUGGCCUUAACUUCGCUUCCAAGACUACUUUUUUUUCUUUUUUUUUAUCCACCAGGAAAUGCUGCUUUGCCUUCAGCGCUUGGAAAAGAUUUUCUAUUUCGAAUUCGAGUUGUUCAGUCAGCACCCAGUGAUGCUAGGCUAGGUGUCAUGAUUUGUGAGUUCUUGAUUUUGAAAUCACGCGUCCAUGCGGCACCAAAUCUACUCAUAGUCGAGGUCAAUUUUUUGUGAGUAAAUUUUUUUUUAGACAGUUCAAUUUCAAUCUGUCAAACCGCAUAUAUAAGAGCCUUUUCUUUGGCUUUGACCUUCGUAAGAUUACUCAUUCCAAACUCUAUAGAAAGGAAUCCAACUCCUGUCACUCAUCCACCUAUGAUUCUCAAAGUGGCCCCGAGCACCCAUCUUUGCCCGUAGAGCUUAAGGUCUUAAGCAUCGACCCUCGAAUACCAGUGGGGCACGCAGUCUCGAUUCUCAUGAUAUUAUUACUUCUUGACAUUGUGAGAACCCAACACCAUGCCCACUCGUAUCGUAUGCAAACUCUCGUAUCAAGUUUAUGCAAGCACAACACUUAUACUAGUCAGCAACCAGUUCGGAGCCUGUAGGCUCAUCUUAUCUCACCGAACUCAGUUCUUAGGGCUUAGGCCCUUAACUUCAAUGUAGACUGCCCGUACGCAUGAUUGACACCUAACAUGAUGCUAGUCCUGUAAGAAAGACUUAGGUGGGCUACCCCAACUGAAGCACACCUCUACCGGUUGGCCACAAGGGUCUAGCAAAGUGUCUGCCUGCUAGCCUGCACAUCUCUUAGACUCGAUGGCGUCCUUUCUGCACAAACACCAUUUCAUGAUCCUUUUAGCUUAGGGAAGGGAAAUCGGGGGGCAUAGCAAACUCUAUUGCGUAAUCUCAUGGCUCAACGCGAAGACACGAUACGAGGCCCACCAGCUCCAACUGUCCCCGGGUUUACCAUAACCAAGGAAAUAUCGUGUCACGCUUAUGACCCUACGAUGCCUACCUACCUAGACACCACUAGUGCCUAGGAGCAGCUCACUUCAAACUAGCCAAGCCCUUGUCUACUCGCUAGCCAAUGGGGUGGUGAAGAGCUGACACCAGUCAUCCCCCUAUAAAGAACGUAAGAGAUUUUCUCAGUCUCCUACCAAUAAUCGUAAGAUUGUUUGAAAUAAAGACACUUUUCUCUCCAGCCAUCUUAGGGCCUUUCUCUAGCUAACUCAAGGCCCAUAACCUUCAUCUUAGUCAUCAUUAUUCCUUGAUUCUACUCGUUGCUUCACCAAUCCACUCGAAGAUGCUCGCACAUGGCUUCGACCAACAACACCUGACUGGCUAGCUGGUCCCAGGGCGCCGACACACUGCCUCACACUUUUCAACGUAUCUUAGAGUUUAAGGCUCAAACUAUCCACACACAAUAUCCCUUACAUAUUCUCAUGCUCAGAAUGCCCAUACAUUGCUUCCACUGAUGGCCCCCACCAGACUACUUGGCUCGAAGGUACUUGACCAGUGUCUCGAACUUACCUACGUAUUUUGCCAUCCAGGGCUUUCACUACCCGCACAAUAUAUUAGUAACCUGUUCCAAUGCUCCAAUGCACUCCCGUAUCUCUUAAAACCAUUUUUUUGCCAAUUUGGUCUCGAUUGUUGCUCAGCUCAGGGUUAGUCAUGGCAAGACCAAGGCACACCAAAGCCUGACCAUGACACUCUCUCCUACAUAUUAUGUCGAUGCCCUCAUCAACGUCAGACCACACCCAACUCUCUUGUUACAUACAGUCGACAUUUACUCGUAUGUCUUUCAUUUGUGCCCUUAAGGGAUUGGGUCAAGGUCUCGUCACAUGGGGCACCACCCGCAGUACUCAUCUAUUGUUGAUGUAGAUUGGUCACAUCCUAGCACCAAUACACCUUCGUUCUGUUCCUACUAAGACCGUCUCACCUUAUCUUGGUUGUUGCAUAUGUGCCACAACAUUGCUUCCUUUGAUCAUAUCAUGUUACGACCUCAAGGCACCCUCAUUGAUCAAUGACCUUUAGUAAAAUGAAUGGCCACCCGCUUUGCCACUCAUUGGUGCGUCCCACUGGACGUGACCUCUCACACCAACUGCAUGCCUGCAACAUCGACUCUUCGAUGCACCCUUUGAAACGUGGUGCUUAGGCCAACCGCACUCAUUCAGCACCACACACAAUAGACCCUUGCACGGUGGCUUUCAGACACGUUGGUUAUCUCAUAACUUGGGUCCUCUCGGCCCCUCUAAGGUCACCUCUCUAGGUGUGGCCGUCUGGCUAACUGCCUUGAUAGUGGCACUUUAAUGCGCGCUAACUCAGUCUCUGUCGUGAAUACAAACACAAUGUUCAAUCAACUUAGUCUCCUCUACCUUGUCUCAAUCCCAUGGGGAAUCACAAGUCUCCCUCACUUUUACUCGAAACUCAGUUCAGCACUAAACGCAACCAUGUUUUCUCGAUGGUUCUCCAGUUCAUCUGCCUUAACUCUGGCAUAGCCUCUAGGGCAUAUCAAAAUCCAUUCCAUACUCAA